CUAUUAUGGAGAGUUUGAUCCUGGCUCAGGACGAACGCUGGCGGCGUGCCUAAUACAUGCAAGU
rnacentral:rRNA from 1 species